CCUUCUAUAGAUUAGGGCAUUGAGGCAUCCAUAACCUGGAGCUAAUCCAUACAAGAGAAAGAAUCUCUGCAGCCUUCUGCAAAACUAUAGCCUUUGCCCGUGCUCAUCACCUUGUGCACUUCCUCCACUCAUGCCCUCCUCCGAAGCCUCCUUCCACACCCUCCUUUGAUUGCUGAUCACAUCUGAUAGCUUCUUGGGCUUGGAGACUCUCUUUGGACAUGGAUUCUUAGGCGGCCAUACAAAGGAGGCAUCCCAUCCAAGGGGGCACCCACAUGAUGGGGCACCUCCCUCUUCCAAACCCUAGGGUGGCUAGGGCUUGAGGGAGGCACCCCCCCUAAGGCUCCUUACUACAUGAA
rnacentral:lncRNA from 1 species